UACAGAGGUCCCAAGCGUUGUUCGGAUUCACUGGGCGUAAAGGGCGCGUAGGUGGCCGGGUAAGUUCGAUGUGAAAGCUCUGAGCUCAACCCGGAAAUGGCCUUGAAUACUAUCCGGCUCGAGGGUUGGAGGGGGGACUGGAAUUCUCGGUGUAGCAGUGAAAUGCGUAGAUAUCGAGAGGAACACCAGUGGCGAAGGCGAGUCCCUGGACAACACCUGACACUGAGGCACGAAAGCUAGGGGAGCAAACGGG
rnacentral:rRNA from 1 species